rnacentral:rRNA from 1 species
CCUACGGGAGGCAGCAGUGAGGAAUAUUGGUCAAUGGGAGAGAUCCUGAACCAGCCAAGCCGCGUGAGGGAAGACGGCUCUAUGGGUUGUAAACCUCUUUUGUCGGAGAACAAAAGCCGGGACGAGUCCCGGACUGCGUGUAUCCGAAGAAAAAGCAUCGGCUAACUCCGUGCCAGCAGCCGCGGUAAUACGGAGGAUGCGAGCGUUAUCCGGAUUUAUUGGGUUUAACGGGUGCGUAGGCGGUCUGUUAAGUCAGCGGUAAAAUGCCGGGGCUCAACCCCGGCGAGGCCUUUGAAACUGGCAGGCUUGAGUGGGGGAGAGGUAGGCGGAAUGCGCGGUGUAGCGGUGAAAUGCAUAGAGAUCGCGCAGAACUCCGAUUGCGAAGGCAGCGUACCG